rnacentral:rRNA from 1 species
AUUGAACGCUGGCGGCAGGCCUAACACAUGCAAGUCGAACGAGUGGCGGACGGGUGAGUAAUGUCUGGGAAACUGCCUGAUGGAGGGGGAUAACUACUGGAAACGGUAGCUAAUACCGCAUACCAUCAGAUGUGCCCAGAUGGGAUUAGCUGGUUGGUGGGGUAAAGGCUUACCAAGGCGACGAUCCGUAACUGGUCUGAGAGGAUGAUCAGGCACACGGGAACUGAGACACGGUCCAGACCCCACCGGGAGGCAGCAGUGGGGAAUAUGGGACCAUGGGCGAAAGCCUGAUCCAGCCAUGCCGCGUGUGUGAAGGAGGUCUUGGGAUUGUAAAGCACUUUAAUUUGGGAAGCGUUACCAACAGAAUAAGCACCGGGUGACUACGUGCCAGCAGCCGCGGUAAUUC